UACGGCCGCAUCACGUUGAAACACCGGUUCCCGUACGAUCACCGAAGUUAAGCAACGUCGAGCCUGAUCAAUAGUUAGGUAGGUGACCGCUUUGGAAUAGCAGGUGCUGUAA